UACGGAGGGUGCAAGCGUUGUCCGGAAUCACUGGGCGUAAAGGGCGCGUAGGCGGCUCAUGAAGGCUGUGGUGAAAGUCCGGGGCUCAACCUCGGAUCGGCCGUGGCGACUCGUGGGCUGGAGCACUGUAGAGGCGGGGUGGAAUUCCGGGUGUAGCGGUGGAAUGCGUAGAGAUCCGGAAGAACACCAGUGGCGAAGGCGGCACUCUGGGCCGGUACUGACGCUGAGGAGCGAAAGCGUGGGGAGCAAACAGG
rnacentral:rRNA from 1 species